rnacentral:rRNA from 1 species
UACGUAGGGUGCAAGCGUUGUCCGGAAUUAUUGGGCGUAAAGGGCUCGUAGGCGGUCUGUCGCGUCUGCUGUGAAAACCCGAGGCUCAACCUCGGGCCUGCAGUGGGUACGGGCAGACUAGAGUGCGGUAGGGGAGAAUGGAAUUCCUGGUGUAGCGGUGGAAUGCGCAGAUAUCAGGAGGAACACCGGUGGCGAAGGCGGGUCUCUGGGCCGAUACUGACGCUGAGGAGCGAAAGCAUGGGGAGCGAACAGG